UGGCGGGACGGGGUGGAGUAAUGUCUGGGAAACUGCCUGAUGGAGGGGGGUAACUACUGGAAACGGUAGCUAAUACCGCAUAACGUCGCAAGACCAAGAGGGGGACCUUCGGGCCUCUUGCCAUCGGAUGUGCCCAGAUGGGAUUAGCUAGUAGGUGGGGUAACGGCUCACCUAGGCGACGAUCCCUAGCUGGUCUGAGAGGAUGACCAGCCACACUGGAACUGAGACACGGUCCAG
rnacentral:rRNA from 1 species